rnacentral:lncRNA from 1 species
UUUCCAAAUUUUUCUUCUUUUCAUCCUAGAGGGCCUAUGUUUCAAAAAUAAUCCCACAUGCAACCACUUUAAAGCAGUCUUGCUUUUGUUAAAACAAUUCUGCCCAUUCUAUCUUCCCCUUGCCCUGCACGUGCUCCUGGCAGCACCCUCAAGGCACAGUCAAAUGGGAGCUGCUGUUAGUAAGGGAGUUCCCCAGGCUCUCUGAAAACUGGCAUCUGGGGCCUCAGAACAGAGUAUGGCUUAAAGAUGGGCAGUAAUUCCCAUGCAGGGAGCAGAGGGCAGGGUGUUGUUGUUGUUGUUGUUUUUCCUUUCCCCAGGGAAGAUAGAGCAUCGUACAGAAAUAAGAUAAGAUCUGAGGCACAAGGCACAAGAAAGGGCAGGUUGAGCACAUUUCAUAAGAGCAAAUGUGGAAAUGAUGGGCCCAGUGGCCUAUAGGGUUGGGUAAAAGACACAAGUGGCUGGCCAUAGAAAUGGCAGGGGUAAGACCUAAAACCCUCAUGUGGGCCUUGCCUGGCUCAGGUACCAUUUCCAGUUCCUCCACCAACCCCUCAAACUGAAGCCCUUGAAUUAUCUUCAUCCUUCAGAUCUCUGGGAAAGAAAUGUCUCCUGCAAGCCACCUCAGAUCCAGUUGUCAUGCACCUGUUCCCACUGUGGCCUCUGGCACUUUAUUAGCUCCUCUAAGAAAGAGGUUUUUAAACUUAAGGUUAUGACCCACUCUCAAACUGUGAAAUCAAUUCAGUGGCUCCAUCAGCAUUACAAAAAUGCCAUCAAAAGAAUAGAAGCUAUCAGAACAUGGUCCCAUGUAAUGACAAUGUGUAUUAUUUUGCAAAACUUAUUUUAGAGAUGUGCGCACACACAUUCACACGUGAAUAUGUGCAGGCUCACUGUAUAAAACAUAGUUUUGAUUAUGUCUGCUGUUCAACGUUGUGGAUAAACAUAGCUCUAAGAGACUUAGCUUGCUGACAUCUAAGCUAAUGUCUUUCCUCUCCUGCUCAUAUAAAUGGACAGGAGUAAUACAUGUUGUGUUAUCUCCAGCACAUGCUUGGACUUGGGUAUCAGAUAAAGCUGGGUUCAAAUUCUGGUUCCAUUAUUUGUAGUUGUAUAAAUUUGAGAUGAUAUCUAGAUUUUGAUAAGGAUAAUACAUUCUUUAUGAGAUAGAUGCAAAGAUUCAACAAAUCAUUGACUUGAAAAUGCUAAACAAGAUUUGUCCAGUGCAGAGAAAAGACAAAGAACACAUAGAGGUUACCAAUCAGUGGAAAGACUAAAAUAUCCAUCAGUCCAUUCAUUCAUUCAUUCAUUCAUUCACUCAUUUAUUCCUCUAUCCACUGACCCAGCAUAUUUAUUAACACCUGCUAUGUGCCAGGGAUUGUUUUAAGCACAGAACAAACUUGGUACUGAUCUCAUGGAACCUUCAGCCUACUAAGAUAAUUAAAAUACUUAACAAAUCCAAAUAAUAAAAAGUACUAUUACAAGAACAAAUAGUAAAGUUGACAGAAGACAAAAGAGAGGAACUCACAUAGAGAAAAGAGGUUUGUCUGAAGAAAUGAGAUUUAAACUGAGAUCAGAAUGAUGAGAGAGAGCCAUCCAUGCCCUGACAGAUUGGGGAAGGAAAGAGGGUAGUUUUCCAGGCAAAGAUAAUCAUGGCACAUACAAAGGGCAUAGGAGAAGAAGGUUAGCAAGUCUGAAGAACAGAGAAGAGGCCAUUGUGUCUGGAGCAUGGAGGGCAACUUUAAGUUGGGACUGUUGUGACUGGAGUGAUCACAACAGAGUGGCUGCAGUGUGGAGAAGGGAGGAAGAGGAUGGGAUAAAAGCAGGAAGACCAAUAAGUAGGUAUGUGAGGAUGAGGUAAUUGUGGGGAUGUCAGGAAGAUUGAUGUGGCUUGAAGAGGAAUGGACGGUCAUAGGGUGGGAAGCAGGGGUGAAGGCGAGGAGUCUGGAAACUUAGGCUAGAGCCUCAUUGUGAAGAAGCUUGAACACCAAGAUAAGACAUUGAAUAAGGUGUUGACUCUGAAAGAGCUCUGAAAAUUCAUGAAAUGCUACACAAAGAUGAAAUUUACAUGACAUUCACAGGGGGUGUCAGAAGGGUGAGUUAACAAACAGCUUCUCUGUUUCUGACACCCUAGAGUGAUCUAUUGACACCAAACAUGAGUUCCCUGCACCCUUGGGGACCACUCGAAACACUCCCAAACAAUAGGAUCUCCCUGCUGCAAAGUUCCUUCUGCCAAUUUAGGAGCUCAGAAUUACUGUGUAACAGCUUCCUUCUUCAGGGAACACAUGUUGAUUACCUAUUUUUUAUUCCCAGAUUUGUGAGUGAAGCAAGCCCAUGGUUGCUGUGCAUUAGCUCUCCCUAAGCUUUUAAGAGCUCAUUGCCGUCCCAAGGAUUACGAACCUCAGUGUGGUGUAGUGAGUUCAAAUCCCAGCUCUGCAUCUUACUACAAUAGCUCUCAUGUUGGAGUUUUCACCUGACUCAGCCAUACUCCAGCUGUGUUACCUUGAGCAAGUUACUUAACCCCUCUUUGCUUUGGUCUCCUCCUCUGUACAGUAGGGAUAACAUUAGUACACACCUCAUAGGGUUAUUGUGAGGUAUAAAUGACACAAUUCAUGGCAAGUUCCCAGAAGAGUGGUAGAAAUCAGCUGUUGUCAGCAGCAGCAGCAACAGUAUCCUAGCCUAAUCAAUCCUUCCAUCCAUCUUCUACUCAGGAUUAAUUACAAAUGGCUUAAUGAGAUUCAAGUUUUAUUGCAAGAACUUGGUCAAAGCAGAUUUCCAGUAUUCUGGGGCUCAUCGUGCCACUGACUACUGAAACAGACAUCCCAGGCUGGGCUUCUAAAGAACUCAGGAGGCAUCAUCUAAAACAUGGUAGCAGCUUAGGGCCCUGCACUCGGGGAAGCAGCCCAGAAGGGGAUUAGAAGAUCUGUGGAGACAGAGCUGGAGUAACUGUCUUCACCCUGCCACCUCCAUGGGGCUGUAUAACAAAAUUACAAAAGCCACCCAGGGUAAGUGCUGCUACAAAAGUAACAGCAAAAGGUAACUGUCAAUUACAAAAGCAUCUAGGAGCCUCAUUUUACUCAUCCGUUUAAUGGGCAUCAUGAGGGUCCCAUGAGUGUAUUGUCUUGUUUUGAGGAUUAAGUGAAGAUGUGCAUGUAAACACUCUGGAUAGUAUUAGGAAAUGUUUCUUCUUUAUACCCCAGGUUUUGAUCAAGAUAAAUUUCCCCCAAAUCUCUCUCUUGCCCAACAUCCUUUACUCCUCCCCACUAAGGUAGACUGGAUCUGGAAUGAGGCUGUGAGCUUGCAUAACUCUUUCCCUUCAUUGCUUCUUUUGCCGUAGGAACCAGCUGCCCUCCAAAAGCAGCCUUCUGCUCUGCCCUGCCACCCCUUCUGUUUUGUGAUAACAGAUUCCCAUGUGAGAGGGUGCCAGGCACUCAGCACUUACCCUGGGUGGGAAAAUACCCAUUUUUGCCAAGUCCUCCAAACUAACCUUUUGCAGUAAUAAAGGCAAAACAUUAAUCUCCAUCUGCUUUACUCCUUUUACUAAUCUUUCAAACUGUUCUCAAUUCAAGUGGAGAAAAUAUGGGGCUUCCACAAAUCCCAUGCCGAUUACCUGGGUCCAAAGAAUGUUCUCAGCAAAUUGUUCUGUUAUUAUUACAUUCACCAGAAACUCUAUUGUCUCUUCUCCCUUUGUUGGGAGCAAUUUUUUUUCUUUUUUUAAUUUAUCUCUCUAAAAGCUUUCACAUUUUCCCCCUUUUAUCCAUACAGUUCUGAAAUUUCACUGCAAUGCAACUAGGUACAGAUUUUUUUUUUUUUCCUUUUUGUUCCUCAUUCAUCAUGUUUGGUAAUCAGAGGACACUUUCAAUCUGUUGUUCCUUCCUUCUGCUCAGGGAUGAGUUCUGGCAUUAUCUACUUCCUUCCCUGGCUCUGCCUGGAUUCUGGAGCUCCUCUCUUUGCUGUUAACAAGCAAGUCUUCUAGGAGGUGAGCUGGAGCUUGCGUUCUUCCAGUUUCAAUCUCACAGCCUCCCUGCAUCCAGG